rnacentral:ncRNA from 1 species
ACUCGAUAAAGGCAUAAUUAGUGAAAGCUAAUGACGCAAAGCUAUAGGGGCUAAAGUGUUUUACACUAUGCCAGCCAGUUGCCGAA